AGCGAACGCUGGCGGCGUGCUUAACACAUGCAAGUCGAGCGAAGGUGUUUCAAGGGUAACCUUGAGAUACACUUAGCGGCGGACGGGUGAGUAAUACGUGGAUAACUUACCUCUAGGCCUGGGGAUAACCCCGGGAAACUGGGGCUAAUACCUGAUAAGACCACAUUGGUCUACGGACAAAGGGGUAAAGUGGCUGCGCAAACAGCUAUCGCCAAAAGAUAGGUUCACGUCCCAUCAGGCAGUGGUGAGGUAAUGGCUCACCAAACCAAAGACGGGUAGCCGGCCUUGGCGGGUGAACGGCCACACGGGGACUGAGACACGGCCCGACUCUACGGGAGGCAGCAGUGGGGAAUAUUGGGCAAUGGGCGCAAGCCUGACCCAGCGACGUCGCGUUGGGGAAGAAGGGCCCUU
rnacentral:rRNA from 1 species